UCUUAGGUAAACUAAAUUAUAAGUUACCGGGCUCAUGAUUCGGCUAUGAGAAAAAUUUCUCCCUAAGUG
rnacentral:tRNA from 1 species